UUUCUUUGCUGACGAGUGGCGGACGGGUGAGUAAUGCUUGGGAAUCUGGCUUAUGGAGGGGGAUAACUGUGGGAAACUGCAGCUAAUACCGCGUAUUCUCUGAGGAGGAAAGGGUGGGACCUUAGGGCCACCUGCCAUAAGAUGAGCCCAAGUGGGAUUAGGUAGUUGGUGGGGUAAAGGCCUACCAAGCCUGCGAUCUCUAGCUGGUCUGAGAGGAUGACCAGCCACACUGGAACUGAGACACGGUCCAGACUCCUACGGGAGGCAGCAGUGGGGAAUAUUGCGCAAUGGGGGGAACCCUGACGCAGCCAUGCCGCGUGAAUGAAGAAGGCCUUCGGGUUGUAAAGUUCUUUCGGUAAUGAGGAAGGGAUGUUGUUAAAUAGAUAGCAUCAUUGACGUUAAUUACAGAAGAAGCACCGGCUAACUCCGUGCCAGCAGCCGCGGUAAUACGGAGGGUGCGAGCGUUAAUCGGAAUAACUGGGCGUAAAGGGCACGCAGGCGGACUUUUAAGUGAGAUGUGAAAUCCCCGAGCUUA
rnacentral:rRNA from 1 species